rnacentral:rRNA from 1 species
UACGUAGGGGGCGAGCGUUGUUCGGAAUGACUGGGCGUAAAGGGCGCGUAGGCGGCCUGUCAAGUUGGGAGUGAAAUUCCUGCUUUCAAGGUAGGAACUGCUUUCAAAACUGUCGGGCUUGAGUGCGGAAGAGGUAAGUGGAAUUCCCAGUGUAGCGGUGAAAUGCGUAGAGAUUGGGAGGAACACCAGUGGCGAAGGCGACUUACUGGGCCGUAACUGACGCUGAUGCGCGAAAGCGUGGGGAGCAAACAGG